rnacentral:rRNA from 1 species
UACGAAGGGGGCUAGCGUUGCUCGGAAUCACUGGGCGUAAAGGGUGCGUAGGCGGGUCUUUAAGUCAGGGGUGAAAUCCUGGAGCUCAACUCCAGAACUGCCUUCGAUACUGGAGAGCUCGAGUCCGGGAGAGGUGAGUGGAACUGCGAGUGUAGAGGUGAAAUUCGUAGAUAUUCGCAAGAACACCAGUGGCGAAGGCGGCUUACUGGUCCGGUUCUGACGCUGAGGCGCGAAAGCGUGGGGAGCAAACAGG